rnacentral:hammerhead_ribozyme from 1 species
GCUCAGCUGAAGAGUCCCAAACUAGGACGAAACAGCUGUCCAGUAC